rnacentral:ncRNA from 2 species
AGUUAAAUAAAGUAUUUUGGUUCUUUGCAGGGACUGCAAAGAUGAAAAAGGAAUCAGGUGAAAAUCCUGAACGGUCCGGCCACUGUAAUUGGGAAGCGACUUCAAAAAAACACUGGUGAACAACUGGGAAGGUUGAAGAAGCGAUAGUACCCAUAAGUCAGGAGACUUGCCAGAAUGCAUAUGCGGAA